GACAGAGGUGCCGAGCGUUAGGCGGAAUCACUGGGCUUAAAGCGUGUGUAGGCGGGCGGGCAAGUACCUUGUGAAAUCCCACGGCUCAACCGUGGAACUGCUGGGUAUACUGCCUAUCUUGAGCCAGCCAGGGGCAGUCGGAACAGACGGUGGAGCGGUGAAAUGCGUAGAUAUCGUCUGGAACGCCAAAGGUGAAAACAGACUGCUGGGGCUGUGCUGACGCUGAGACACGAAAGCCAGGGGAGCGAACGGG
rnacentral:rRNA from 1 species